AGUGAGUCCUGUUCAGCGUGGGAGGAAAUAACACAAGAGGCAAAGAUCACUCGGGACCACCUUGUAUAUUGGCUACCACAGAACCCAACACAAGCAAUGCAGUCUGACCUGAGCCAUGAAGAAGUGCAGAGUCCCCAAGAGGCCAGAGAGCUCACGUCUGGUUAGAGUCGGGGUGUUUGAUGGGAAGAUGAAAGGAGGAGCUGGCAUCUGAGCUCUUGUAAAUGAAGAAAUUAAAACUGCAAGUUGAAACUGAGUCACUGAUGGCGCCAGAUGUUUCUGGAGCAAAACUGGGAAAGAGGGUGAGCAUUGGAAAGACACCUCCUCCUGUUAUCUUCGAGAAGCCAUUUACUGGGAAAACAAAAACUGAGCUCCAUGAUGCAUAAAUUCCAAAAUGCAGAGGCCAAUUUCUUUCCCUUUGACCACAUGUCGGAAAGGCUCGGGGUUCAGUAACUGGAGGAGGCAGUGUUUAAUCCCAAUUUUACCAGUGAAGAAACUGAGGCUCAGAAAAACAAAGUGACUCCAAAUUCCUUGAGCACCUGGCCAGGGUCAGUCCCCACGGUGGCUGAGAUGGUUGACCAAUGGCCUCUGGGGAGAAGGCUAUGGGCACAGACACUGGUCCCUGGCUUGUUGGGAGGGAACAAGGAUGUCCAUCUGUCCUCCCUCAACACUGCCUCCUGGGGGACAAGGAAGAUGCCCAGAGUGAGUGGGCAGGGUGGGCGAUGGACUCAUACCCUGCCUUGGUGUCUCUGUGGCUCCUGGAAGAUCCUUGCAAGCAGCGGUGAGCACUGUGACUUGAGCCCUGCGGUGGUGGCUUGCCAUGUGGCCAGUCAAGGUGGACGAUGGACUCAUAUGCUGCCUGGGUGUCUCUGUGACUCUUGGGAGAUCCUUGCUGGCAGCGGUGAGCACUGUGACUUCAGCCCUGCAGUGGUAGCUGGUCACAUGGCCAGUCAAGGCUCAGUCUUCUUAGUAAUCAAAGGACUGAAAGUGUCCAGUAGCUUUGGAUGAUGGUUGAGGACUCGUUAAUAAAGACCACUGCCC
rnacentral:lncRNA from 1 species